rnacentral:rRNA from 1 species
UACGAAGGGGGCUAGCGCUGCUCGGAAUCACUGGGCGUAAAGGGUGCGUAGGCGGGCUUUUAAGUCAGGGGUGAAAUCCUGGAGCUCAACUCCAGAACUGCCUUUGAUACUGAAGAUCUCGAGUCCGGGAGAGGUGAGUGGAACUGCGAGUGUAGAGGUGAAAUUCGUAGAUAUUCGCAAGAACACCAGUGGCGAAGGCGGCUCACUGGCCCGGUACUGACGCUGAGGCACGAAAGCGUGGGGAGCAAACAGG